CCCUUAGAUGUCCGGGGCCGCACGCGCGCUACACUGAAGGAAUCAGCGUGGCUUUCUCCCUGACCCGAAAGGGUUGGGAAACCCGUUGAAUCUCCUUCGUGAUAGGGAUUGGGGCUUGAAAUUGUACCCCAUGAACGAGGAAUUCCCAGUAAGCGCGAGUCAUAAGCUCGCGUUGAUUACGUCCCUGCCCUUUGUACACACCGCCAGUCGCUACUACCGAUUGAACGGUUUAGUGAGGGCCUCGGAUUGGUCUCGGCCCGCUCUUUACCGGGCGGCGCCGUUGGUCGAGAAGACGCUCGAACUUGAUCGUUUAGAGGAAGUAAAAGUCGUAACA
rnacentral:rRNA from 1 species